rnacentral:rRNA from 1 species
GACGAACGCUGGCGGCGUGCUUAACACAUGCAAGUCGAACGGAAAGGCCCUGCUUUUGUGGGGUGCUCGAGUGGCGAACGGGUGAGUAACACGUGAGUAACCUGCCCUUGACUUUGGGAUAACUUCAGGAAACUGGGGCUAAUACCGGAUAGGAGCUCCUGCUGCAUGGUGGGGGUUGGAAAGUUUCGGCGGUUGGGGAUGGACUCGCGGCUUAUCAACUUGUUGGUGGGGUAGUGGCUUACCAAGGCUUUGACGGGUAGCCGGCCUGAGAGGGUGACCGGCCACAUUGGGACUGAGAUACGGCCCAGACUCCUACGGGAGGCAGCAGUGGGGAAUAUUGCACAAUGGGCGGAAGCCUGAUGCAGCAACGCCGCGCGCGGGAUGACGGCCUUCGGGUUGUAAACCGCUUUCGCCUGUGACGAAGCGUGAGUGACGGUAAUGGGUAAAGAAGCACCGGCUAACUACGUGCCAGCAGCCGCGGUGAUACGUAGGGUGCGAGCGUUGUCCGGAUUUAUUGGGCGUAAAGGGCUCGUAGGUGGUUGAUCGCGUCGGAAGUGUAAUCUUGGGGCUUAACCCUGAGCGUGCUUUCGAUACGGGUUGACUUGAGGAAGGUAGGGGAGAAUGGAAUUCCUGGUGGAGCGGUGGAAUGCGCAGAUAUCAGGAGGAACACCAGUGGCGAAGGCGGUUCUCUGGGCCUUUCCUGACGCUGAGGAGCGAAAGCGUGGGGAGCGAACAGGCUUAGAUACCCUGGUAGUCCACGCUGUAAACGGUGGGUACUAGGUGUGGGGUCCAUUCCACGGGUUCCGUGCCGUAGCUAACGCUUUAAGUACCCCGCCUGGGGAGUACGGCCGCAAGGCUAAAACUCAAAGGAAUUGACGGGGCCCCGCACAAGCGGCGGAGCAUGCGGAUUAAUUCGAUGCAACGCGUAGAACCUUACCUGGGUUUGACAUGGAUCGGGAGUGCUCAGAGAUGGGUGUGCCUCUUUUGGGGUCGGUUCACAGGUGGUGCAUGGCUGUCGUCAGCUCGUGUCGUGAGAUGUUGGGUUAAGUCCCGCAACGAGCGCAACCCUUGUUCACUGUUGCCAGCACGUUAUGGUGGGGACUCAGUGGAGACCGCCGGGGUCAACUCGGAGGAAGGUGGGGAUGACGUCAAGUCAUCAUGCCCCUUAUGUCCAGGGCUUCACGCAUGCUACAAUGGCUGGUACAGAGAGUGGCGAGCCUGUGAGGGUGAGCGAAUCUCGGAAAGCCGGUCUCAGUUCGGAUUGGGGUCUGCAACUCGACCUCAUGAAGUCGGAGUCGCUAGUAAUCGCAGAUCAGCAACGCUGCGGUGAAUACGUUCCCGGG